rnacentral:rRNA from 1 species
GAUGAACGCUGGCGGCGUGCCUAAUACAUGCAAGUCGAGCGAACAGACGAGGAGCUUGCUCCUCUGACGUUAGCGGCGGACGGGUGAGUAACACGUGGAUAACCUACCUAUAAGACUGGGAUAACUUCGGGAAACCGGAGCUAAUACCGGAUAAUAUAUUGAACCGCAUGGUUCAAUAGUGAAAGACGGUUUUGCUGUCACUUAUAGAUGGAUCCGCGCCGCAUUAGCUAGUUGGUAAGGUAACGGCUUACCAAGGCAACGAUGCGUAGCCGACCUGAGAGGGUGAUCGGCCACACUGGAACUGAGACACGGUCCAGACUCCUACGGGAGGCAGCAGUAGGGAAUCUUCCGCAAUGGGCGAAAGCCUGAUGGAGCAACGCCGCGUGAGUGAUGAAGGUCUUCGGAUCGUAAAACUCUGUUAUUAGGGAAGAACAAAUGUGUAAGUAACUAUGCACGUCUUGACGGUACCUAAUCAGAAAGCCACGGCUAACUACGU